rnacentral:rRNA from 1 species
GUGUCAGCCGCCGCGGUAAUACGGAGGGUGCAAGCGUUAUCCGGAUUCAUUGGGUUUAAAGGGUGCGCAGGCGGAUUAUUAAGUUAGUGGUGAAAUCCCGGGGCUCAACCUCAGAACUGCCAUUAAUACUGGUAAUCUGGAAUACGGUUGAAGUGGGCGGAAUGUAGCAUGUAGCGGUGAAAUGCAUAGAGAUGCUACAGAACACCGAUCGCGAAGGCAGCUCACUAAGCCGAUAUUGACGCUCAGGCACGAAAGCGUGGGGAGCGAACAGGAUUAGAUACCCUGGUAGUCCACGCCGUAAACGAUGAUAACUCGUUGUUGGCGACACACAGUCAGCGACUAAGCGAAAGCGAUAAGUUAUCCACCUGGGGAUACGAUCGCAAGGUUGAAACUCAAAGAAAUUGACGG